rnacentral:misc_RNA from 1 species
GCAUCUCUUAGCAUAUACCCAGAAACCAGCACAGAACAGAUCAUACAACCACAAGAGAAGAGAAGAGAAAAGAGAAAGAGAUCAUAGGUGUAGAUUGCAAAAAGGGGUGGUUUUUGUGGGAUUGUUUUGUUGGCUAUCAAAUAAAUAUGGCUGUGCAAGCUCAGUUUCCUUUGUGCGGUUCACAAGAUUGGAUGGACAAUAGUUGUGGAGGGUUUAAUCAGUUUUGUUAUUCUUAUCUUCAGCAAGAACAACAGCAGCAGCUGCAACAGCAACAAUGCAAUAUUCAGAUGAUGCAAAAUCAGCUGCAGAAGAAUCAAAAUCUUUGCUUUGAUAAUUCUCUUCUUGGUUCUUCUAGUUUGAAAACCAGCAAUCAUCACCCAUCAAUGGCUUAUUCUCAAAGCAUCGUUGCCUAUGAUGAAAAGCAAAGGCAAGAGAUUGAUCAUUAUAUCAGAUUACAGAAUGAGAGACUGAGACUGUUUCUGCAAGAGCAAACAAAGCAACAGCUAGCUUCAAUGAUGAAGAGAAUAGAAUCAAAGGCACUGCUUUUAUUGAGGCAAAAGGAUGAGGAAAUAGCAAGAGCAGCUAAAAGAACCGCAGAGCUUGAAGAUUUCUUGAAGAGAUUAGAGAUGGAGAGCCAAGUAUGGCAAAGGGUAGCACAAGAAAACGAAGCCAUGGUUAUAUCUCUCGACAAUACAAUAGAACAGCUGAGGGAAAAAGCCUCAUGUUGCUUUGAAAACGGAGCAGAGGAUGCAGAGUCAUGCUGUGAUAUGAACAGAGAAGAGGAAGAAGAAGCAGAGGAAACAGAGCAAAAAAGCAGAGUAUUUGUCGGUGAUAACGUUACAGAAGAAGAAAGAGCAAGAAAAAAGAGGAUGACGAUGAUGAUGGCAUGCAAAGGCUGUAACUCUAGGAAUCCGUGUAUUUUGUUCCUUCCCUGUAGGCACCUUUGUUCAUGCAAAGCUUGUGAGGCUAUUCUUGAUUCUUGCCCUCUGUGUCAAACGCCAAAGAAGGCUAGCAUUGAGGCUUUAAUAGUUUAGAUUUUCUAGGGCAGGGAAAAUAAUUUUCCUGGAAAAGUGAAAUGGAAUAGAACAAAGCGAAGAGAAGGGAAAAAAAAAAAAAAA